rnacentral:rRNA from 1 species
CUUAACUCUGGGAUAAGCCUGGGAAACUGGGUCUAAUACCGGAUAGGAGCGCCUACCGCAUGGUGGGUGUUGGAAAGAUUUAUCGGUUUUGGAUGGACUCGCGGCCUAUCAGCUUGUUGGUGAGGUAAUGGCUCACCAAGGCGACGACGGGUAGCCGGCCUGAGAGGGUGACCGGCCACACUGGGACUGAGACACGGCCCAGACUCCUACGGGAGGCAGCAGUGGGGAAUAUUGCACAAUGGGCGCAAGCCUGAUGCAGCGACGCCGCGUGAGGGAUGACGGCCUUCGGGUUGUAAACCUCUUUCAGUAGGGAAGAAGCGAAAGUGACGGUACCUGCAGAAGAAGCACCGGCUAACUACGUGCCAGCAGCCGCGGUAAUACGUAGGGUGCGAGCGUUAUCCGGAAUUAUUGGGCGUAAAGAGCUCGUAGGCGGUUUGUCGCGUCUGUCGUGAAAGUCCGGGGCUUAACCCCGGAUCUGCGGUGGGUACGGGCAGACUAGAGUGCAGUAGGGGAGACUGGAAUUCCUGGUGUAGCGGUGGAAUGCGCAGAUAUCAGGAGGAACACCGAUGGCGAAGGCAGGUCUCUGGGCUGUAACUGACGCUGAGGAGCGAAAGCAUGGGGAGCGAACAGGAUUAGAUACCCUGGUAGUCCAUGCCGUAAACGUUGGGCACU